GACGAACGCUGGCGGCGUGCCUAACACAUGCAAGUCGAACGGGGCAUUCCUUCGGGAGUGCUUAGUGGCGAACGGGUGAGUAACGCGUGAGGAACCUGCCUUUCAGUGGGGGACAACAGUUGGAAACGACUGCUAAUACCGCAUAAUGUUAUUUAGGGGCAUCCCUGAAUAACCAAAGCUUUAUGUGCUGAAAGAUGGCCUCGCGUCUGAUUAGCUAGUUGGUGAGGUAACGGCUCACCAAGGCGACGAUCAGUAGCCGGUCUGAGAGGAUGAACGGCCACAUUGGGACUGAGAUACGGCCCAGACUCCUACGGGAGGCAGCAGUGGGGAAUAUUGGGCAAUGGGGGAAACCUGACCCAGCAACGGCCGCGUGAAGGAAGAAAGGCCUUCGGUGGUAAACUUCUUUACCAGGACGAAGAACGUGAGGUA
rnacentral:rRNA from 1 species